UUCCAUUUAUAAUUCACUUUUAAUAGUAUAAACCUCAUUUAGGUAGUAGUAUUAAGCCACAACAAUAUAAUGCCACAUUUAAACAGCAUUUAAUAAAAUGCAUAAGCUAAUUCAUGCACUGCAAUACUCUAUAUACAAACACAACAAUGCAAAUUCCUCUUCGUGUCUGAAGACAUUGAUUAGAUAUAAAAUCCAGAUAAAAAAGAACAUGCUAUUAUUUUUUUAGAUGCCAUCACACAUACAAAGUCGAUUUCUACAGAGCUGGGAGAAGCAACAGCCUCCAGCAGGUUUGAAACCUGGAAUUCCAAUGUAACGGCAUAAACAACACUUGCUAAGGAUGAAGAGCAGAGGUUACAGAAAAGGUCCCAUGGCAAACGACGCCCGAUGUCUGGAGCGGCACUAUUUCCUGAGACUGAAGAUGCAGCCUCGGGUACAGCACAGCGAGCAGCAGGGAGAGGAGGCCAGGCUGGGCCUACAGAGAGAGUGCGGGUUGUCAGUCCGAAAACCAAGGGGAAAACAGGUUGACAAAGCAUUCUGGAGAAUAGCAGACUCUCCAGAGACAGUCCAGUCCUUGAAUUUUAUGUGGCAGCAGCUUUCUUUUCAUGGUGCUAUGGUAAUUUAAAUGAUUAUUGUACUUCUCCUACAUAAGACCCCUGCUUAAAGUGAAAGCUCUUCAUUUCAUUAUUAACUAAAACAUAAAAUAAACAUUCUGAGGAAGCAAUAAUGGCAGAUCCUCUCCAAUAUGGCUUCCUAGGUGCUAGGUGUAUGUAAAUAUACAAAAAAAGGUCUUCACACUUCCCGGGUUAAUCAAAAAUCUAUGCAUUAAACAUAAAAUACACAAAAAGCCUUGACACACUCUUCCUUUCCUCACUUAUCAUACCACUCACUAUAUGAGUGCCUUUUCUUUAAAAUCCUGUUUAUCGUUAAAAUGGUGUCAGUCAGUAUGAUCAAUCUACUUUUAAGGAAAUUUGAUAUUUUAAAAAUUAUGUUGUCAUCAAAACUUCAUUUUUUGUACCUCUUUUUUCCUUCACCUUUCCUCAGAAAGAAUCAAUGGGAUGAUUGUUAUUAAAACUUUAUGAUGAAACCUAAAAUGUUGAAAAGCAGUAACUCCCACAGCCUCCUAUUUGAUUAGGGAUAGCCAUCAUUUAUUAAUUUUUCAUAAAUGUCAAAACAAUUCAGUAAUCUCUGUGGCAAUUUAUUUUGUAUUUUUUAAAAAUCCUAUAUGAUUCUAUCCCUCUUAUAUUUCCGUUAGUCACUAAAAUUGUUGCAGCAUGCUCUUUUUUGUAAACCAAUUUCCCACAAGAGAAUUCUUCCAAAAUGUUGCCAUCUUUUUUUUUUUUUUUUAAAACUGUACCAUGAUUGAUGUGGAUAAUAGCUUUCUCCUUAGGUGGAACUUCUAAUUGUAAAUCCAAAUAACGGUAUGUUUAAAAAAACAAAACAAAAUACAAAAAGAUCAGUAUGGAAUCUAACGGAUGGUUCUGCAUUUCUCAAGAGCCGUUUGUAGCUCCAAAGUUGAAAGUAAGCAUAAUCAUGGGCAGUAAACUCCCUCCCCACUGAUUUUAAGUGACUAAAUGUAAUUUGGCUAAAAUAAGUGCCACAUAAAAGUCAACAGUAGUAAAAAUAUGCAUACAUUUUUUUCCUCCUUCAAAAAUGAAUACUGUUUUAAAAAAAUACAUAUCACCUUCUAGAACUGCCCCUCUCUAUGACAUCUUUUGCUUGUUGGCUCCCCUUUCCCUCAUCUCCCCAAGCCCAUCCUCACCAGGAACUUAGAAAACAGCACCCCUCCCACUAUCACCAACAGACAUAGUCAGCAUGAAAGGAUCCUUCUGACUGAGGCACCAAGAAGAGUGGAAACUAACACCACUCCUGGAAACUGAGUCCACAUCACUGAAAUAACAUUCUUCAUGUCUGAAUCUGAGUUGGGACAACUGUAGUUGACAGUGGGAUAUUCCCAGUGUGCUCUGAGAAACAGAGAAGUGCAACACGAAUUUAGUUUUGCACCUCACAAUGUACUUCAACUUGGGCACUGAAGAAAGCAAGUUGAAUGACCAUAUUUUAAACACAGUGAAUUAGAAUGCCCCUUGUCCCAUGCCCUCUGAACUCAAGCCAAUAUCCUCUUCUACAUAAUUAGGGAAUAGAUGGACAUGUGCAUUCUACUGGAAUAGUUUUUAUUUCAUCUUGUCUUUCUUUUUUUUACUCGUACAGUUAGGACUUAGCUAACUUUUCUUACCCUGGGUGGUGUAUUGCGCCCCUCCCCCCGCCCCCAAUCCGACCACCCAAAUAAGAAAAAUAUAAAAAGGUUUAGGAAAACCUCCAAUGCUGGGGGAUUGUAUAAACAUUGAGGACACUUUAGCUCACAUUAGCAACUCAAUCAUAAACUCUCUUUAAACAUAAAAAUGUUUGAAUACAUGGCUACAUAUCUGUAUACAUAAUAUACAUAUAUAUAUAAACAUACACACAUAUUUACACUGUACAUAUAUAUAAGGUAUAAACACUUAUAAAGUCAUUCAUUCAUACACACGUACAUACAAAUCUGUACACGUACAUAGUUGAAGUGAUUCCUAAUACAGGACAUGCAGAAAUGCACAAUUUUGGGAGGCACAAAAAGAAGAUAUUUAUAAACCUGCAUAUAAAACCCACCCCCCAAAUAACCCCAAAUCUAUUAGGGCUUUCUCUCUUUGUCAUUUAUAUCUUAGUUGAGAUAUUUCUUUUAAAAAGAAUCUCCCAUAAUCCAAAGGGUUUGAAAAAGUGAGAUCAAAGGAAGCAUGUAGAGCUGAGUAUUCUACUCUGCCAACUGGGACCAACUUCAUAAUGAACUGAGAACCCACUCCAAUUUAAGCUACAUCAGGAAAUGGUGCUGUGGAGUAAAAGAAAUGUUAGGGGGUCACAGUAGAAUCUGCAAUGGAAAAUAGGGAUGAUUCACAGCCAGACUCUAUUCUGAGUAAGAGGUCUGUCUACCAAAAUGGACAACUGUUUCUGAAUUGGAGCUGUCCUGGCUUCAAAAAAUGACUACAAUAUGCACAUGUGGUAUGGAACAAGUCUUGGAUCUUUAAGAUGGAUCUGUAAUACAAUUCUGCCAGAAGGACAAGGAUUUCUCUUCUUUCCCUCUCCCCCAGCCUAAUGUACUUCCCAUAUCCAGCCAAAUGGUUAUAAAACUCUAGCUCUAUGAAUCAACCCCAUAAGUAAAUUAAAAAUCUAGGUCUGUAGUGUGGACACAAAUAAAUUAUAUAAGGGGUUGCUAAAAACAUAAAGAUGCUUGUAAUAGAACAGAUGCAGCUACACUGUCAUUAGCCUGGCAUCUAAAACAUCAUGAACCCAAAGUUAAUUAAACACUGACUCUAACAAAACCUAAAAAAAAUCCCUAAAUUGGAGAAUUAUAUACCUAACACACAACAAUUUACCUUAAAAUGCAAAAACAAAAUAAAACAACAAAAAACCCCCACACAAACUCAAAACAUCACAUUCUUGGAAAAGAAUUGGACAAUAAAUAAUAUUAAAAAAAAAUCUUCAGAACCACAAAUUUCACAACUAGAGAAAUGUUAUAUUUACUCUAAAAAAAAAAAUGCUUAGUAUUGUUUGGAAAUUCUGAUCUUUGUAAACCUAACAGAAAUCAGAAAACGUUAAUUCUUUUCUUAUAUGAUUUAGACCAUUCCAAGUGUCAGAUCACUGUCUUCUAAAAUCAACUGAUUCUACAUAAGUCUUCAAAACAAGGUUUUAUUUAGCAGAAGAAGUAAAGGGCAUGUGUUUGUGAAGGAAAUGAAGGCCAUAUCUACCUUGAGACUCUGGAAACAAUCUCUUUCCUGACGGUCAUCUGAGGGAGGAGGGCAGUAAGUGGAAGCCUGGCUGAGGGACAGCCAUGGUAUAAAUAUCACAAUAGAUUUCAACUUUUUUUGUACUUUUGUUGAAUGUAAAAGUGUUCAGGGUCAGGUUUCUUUCGAGAUUCUUUCCUUAAGUGUUCCCACCUUCUCCCUCUUUCUCCAUUUCCAAAUCAGAGAACCAAGCAGCAACCCUUUCUGCAUUCAGGUUUUAAGAAAAUACCUGGAAGCAUUCAUUCUCCCGGGCCAAAUAUCUUCCUGGUAAUUUCUAUGGACUGGUUUACAGGAUAUAAUCAUUUCUCCUAUCACCAAAUGCCAUAUCUUUCUUUAAGUGGAGAUACUGAAUUUCUGAAGUAGGUGUUUUUUAUUUUUAUUCUUAGACUUAAGGCAUACUCUUUUUAUCAGUAAUGAUAUCAACUUCAUAUUUCCUGGAUAUAUGACUGCACUGCAGCAGAAUGUUAUGUGUAGAGCUGGGGAAAAUGUCUCAUAAAUUGAAAAUAAAAAAAAAAUCUAAGUGUUGAUGGCUCUAUCCCAGGAAAUAAGCUAAUAGCUAAAACUAUCUGGCUGUUGUUAAGAGCACUCUCCAUCUUGAAGGCAUUCUCUUUAUGAAUGUAGACUAAAAUGACUUUCACUGUCUAAAGACAACUUUCAUUUCUACCAUUCAGAUUACUUAAGUGAAUAAAGACCCGAUUUCUCUUCUUGCUAUAUUUACUAUUUCAUAACUUAAGGCUUAAUCAAAGUUUGAAUUCAACCUUUUGGAAGGAAUUCCUUUAAAGAAGUCAUGAUUCAAGAGUUUGUUUUUCUUUGUCCAAUGGCCAAAAAUAAAAAGGCUAUAAAGGCAAUCCUAAGCUCUUGACAAUUUCUGUCCUAUUCACUUGAAAUAGUCCUUAUGGAAAAUUAUUCUUUGAUAAAAAAAUCAAGAAGAACCUAGGCAUCAAGGAAAAUGUUUCAAAAAUUUAAAAUAUUUUGGUUCCUUAAAAGCAGUUUGGUGAGCACUGGCAAGGAAGUUUAAAAUCAUGUAAACAAAGAACCAAAGCUGACUUGUUUCUUCAGGCACUAUGAAGUCACUGUAGCAGAAACCCUAAUCUUUCUUAAGGUUGAAUCUUUACCAAAGUUUUAGCAUUUGAGUAAUUUAAAGAAAAGAAAAAUAAAUUUUAUGGUGAUCUCUCUAUUCCAUUCUUCUAAUAUAUCUGAAGUAAUUUUGUCUCUGAAGACAUUAUUCUAAUUUAAAAUCAAAACAACAUAAUGAACAUGGAAAGCAUCCCCCACCUCACUCCUCAAAUGAAAUGGGAAUCAGGUGAACUAGAAUGCCAUCACUGUUCAAAGGCACUCCCAAGAGGGAGCUCAGAGCCAUCAUGGCUCCUUGAAAGACAACAGACUGUUCUUCUAGAAUUAUACCACAUGAUCAUCAGUGUGCCUGUUUUAAAAAAGGUAUUACUUUUUAUGGGAUACCUACUGUUUACAACUGACAUCUAUCCACAUUCUUUGAAUUGCUACAGACAGUCAUCAACUCCAUUAUUUUGGCCAAAUUUCUUUUUUCCUUUAUCAUUCAAAACAUAGGGAAGUCAACAAAAAACAAAACAAACCUUGUCCCCAAAGAGAAAAAUAAUAUUCUUUUUCUUUAUAUUUACAUAAUUAAAAAAUGCUCAUAAUUUAAAAAUACCAUGAGAUAUUCCACCAAAAUUGAAGUUCAGAAGUGGGGAGCUGAUGUCUUAAGUGAACGAGCUUCCCACUAACAAAGGCCGUCUUAAAGAGUGACUAAUACUUAAUUUUGGUUGAUUCUGAGCAGAGAUUCCAGAAAGCUUUGGCAGCUUUUACUUAGCUCAUUUAACAAGGUGGCACAGGGAACUACAGGUGCAUUUCGAGGGGUGAUGAGUUUUCUCUGGCACCUUGUAUAUAAUACUGGGCAGUUAAUUUGUCCAAUUGUUAUGAAAAGAGAGCUAUUGGAAUGUGGCAGAUCAAAAUGAGGAAGAAGCCGUACCCGUAAGGCAAAGGACAAGUGUGGCCAGGGAAAAAGUCUUACUGUGAAUGGGUAAUGUUGAAGCCUGUACAGCCUAUUUAGCUACCUAAAGAAAAUAUUUGUUACUUCCAAACAGCCACCUGUAAUAGCUAACAGACCCUUCUGCCAAGGGACGCAAUAAUGAAUUCCACAUUAUGGGAUGUUUUUUCUUACCAAAAAACAUGUCUUUUAUGCAUGAACACAUAAAAAAGGAACUGUGGUGAAUCUAGAUUCCCUUUGGACAAAUCACUUUGCCCUUAUUUACAUACUUCUGAGAUAAUUUAAAUGCUUUAUCUAUGCCCUAUCAUCUAGGGCUGCUCAUUUUUUAAAGUAAUAGUGGGCAUAUUAUAUUCUUUGCUUGAAUCCUUACACCCAGGAGCCCAAGAUGUGAAACUGGCCAUUAUAAAGGUAGAUGAACAAAAUUGCACAUCAGAUGCCCGUGCCCUCAUCUUCGUGACUGGCCUUACAAAUAGAAAAGUUACAUUUUAUCAAUGCAGUUUGAUGAGGACACAAUAAAAACAAUAUGACUGCUGUCUGAAUGACAACAGAGAAGAAUCCCCAGUCACACAUAAUCUGUUCAGUUUAAGAAGGAACUUAUCAAUACCAAAUCAAUACCGUGAUACUGUGAGUCACUUCUCCAGGACAAAAGCCAAAGACAUUAGUGACCUCAAUACAAUUACUUAGUCAUUAACUGCAGGAGCACAUGAUUUUUUUUUAAUAGAAUAUAAUUCUGAAUGCCAACCCAAGUGGGACAUCAAUGUAAAAUGAAAUGGGAGAAUUCAGGGAACUAAUGCAAGGAAUGGAAAACUUGGUACUUAUCUGGGACUGAUCAAAGCAGCACUACUGUGGGCCUGCAAAAGCCAACAAAAUACCCACCACCCUGGGAAGCCAACAGCAGGAAGUAUGGGCAUGUGUUCAGUUACUGGAUAGGCUGGAUGUCUAUCUUGGCAGUUAAUUACUGACUAAUUGCACUGCAAUUCAGAGUCAGCGAUUAGAACAAGUCUUGAUUUUCCAUGAUCAUAUCAAGAGCUCCAUCUAGGGCAUUCACGAUCACUGACUGUCCCUGCGUGGGCCAUGGCUGUGGCAGUUAUUUAGCUGCUAAUUGUGCUAUAGACAUGCCGCAAAGAAACCACACCCUCAGUACUUUUGAGGACUCUAAAGAUGCACAUCACCAACAUGUGCAUACAAACUCACGCUGCCUUUCUGCCUUAAGUAGAAGUGAUUGUCUCUUUUUUCUGUCCCCCUUUAAGUUUUCAUAGAAAUCAUCAUUUUGGCCAAGGACACAGAACAUUUUCUCCUCGCCUAUUCACAGGCAAGAUACUGAUAAC
rnacentral:lncRNA from 1 species